GUACAUAUUGAUUUUUUUUUUAAUUCUGAAACUCCAAAUUACACUUCCCUGUAUGUGCAUGUAUGUCUCAUGAUUCAUCCAUUGUUUUAAAGUUGGAAAGGUAUAAUAUAUAAUAUCUAUACAAGUAUCUAAUUGUACUGAAUGAGUGGAUCAAUACAUUGCUGAAUCUGAUUUUGGCGGGGAAGAAUAAUUAUACUUGUAGACUGGUGCUGAGGCUUGCAAAAUGUUCCUGUUUUUUGUGUUUUUGUUGGGAUUCUCCUGCUUAAAAAAGGCAUUUAUCUGUAAGCAGCUUUGUGUUAGAAAAUAUCGUUUAUAUACAUAAACAAUGUGUAUAGGACAUUGAAAAUGUUUUAAAUGUAGAAAUGAUAGAUAUUAGAUUUUUUUUUCUCAAUGAUAUUGAGUGAAUUUUCUCAUCUAUAGAUCUAUACCUGUAGGUCGUUAUAACCAUAACUCUAAUUCCUUUGGAAUUUCAAAGGUUUGUUAUCUUUAUUUUAAUUUAAACAAAUAUGUUUAUUAAUGAAUUGUGAUUUUUUGUACAUUUUUGUACAGAUGCACACACACACACACACAUUAUUUAAGUUUGGUUUCCUUGUUUGCCAAGUGUUUUCAAGUGUCUCACAACGCUAUAUUUAUAGCUGCAAGCAUCACCAAUGCUGGUACAAAAUACACUUUCAGGGGGUUAUGCUGCAACAUUUAACUAUAAGAAAGCCUUAAUUUUGAUUAAAUGAAUUUGAUGCUAAAUUGUUUUUAACAACAUCAUAUAUUUUGUCUUUGUCACUGUAUUUUACAGAAAGAUUUUUUUUUUUAAUUUCAGUAUACUAGAUAAAUUCAAAGGCAUUUUACCCCUAUUUAGGGGUAUCAGUAAAAUUUCAUGUUUAUAAUAUACAUGUACCUAUACAUGUACAUAAAAAAUACCGGAAAAAUGGCAAAUUUAAAUGGAUAUUGUCUCUUUGUUCUUGGAUAUUAUAUAUCAAAAGAGUCUAUUAGUCCCAUUGUGUCAUUAUUAAUAGAAUUUAUACACAGUAUUAAAUUAUAUAGACAAAACCUUACCUCGUUUUUAUCCAGAAAAACAAAUUGUAUUUUAACAUGUACAGUGUAAGGAAAUUAUACAGUUAAAUCAUGUGUAUAUGACUAGAUUUGAUUUAAAUUUACUCAAUACAAUUACUUGAUAUUACUUUGAUAUUUUAAUAAAAGAAGGGGGUAGUUACCAGUGAAUGUAUGAUAACUUUUUAUUUGAAGGAUCAAUGUUAGGAUGAUGGUAAUGAAUGAUGGUAUUAAUGAAUAAAUGUAGGGAGGGGGCAUAUAAGACUUAAAUCAUUGUUGUUAAACUUAGUCAUAAAUGAGAAAGUAGUCAUCUUGAUACAUAUAGCUAAAAAUAGAAAUAAGUAGCUAUAUAAUUGAAACUUUAAAAUUUGCUCACUUUUUAAAGUCAGAAUAAAUACAUUGAAUGUAAAUAUCUAUUUAUUCGGAAGCUACAUGUUGCUUUUUAUGUGCUUUGUUAUACAUGUACUUGUUUGUGUAAAUGUGUGAUAUAUGAUGUUCGGAAUAGUUUUGUAGUGCUUGUUUUACAACCAUGGCAGUUCAUGGUUAUACACCAACAAACAAAAAUAAUUAUUAAGUUAGAAAUAUCAUUUUUUUUGUGGUGAAACACUAAAUAGACCAAAGAACGUUUUAUCGAAUUAUUCAUGAAAACAUUAAUGUUUUAUAUACAUUCAGUGCCUAAAACUAUAAUUAUAGUACAUGUAUAGCAUUUCUUUGAAAAAUUCUGAAUUUGAAGUAUUAACUGUUAAGGACUUGUUGUGUAUUUGUUCCAAUAUAAGAACUUAUAUUUAAAAUUACUCCGUUAUCCACAUUUUUGACAUGACAGGUUUCAUUUAUUUCAGUCAAGGAGUCCUGUAAAGAGGUUGUUAAUUGAUGUUAAUUAAAGAAUUUAUUGUUAAACACUGAGACAAAGAUCUCCACAUUGUUAUAUUUAUUAUGAUUAUUCAGUAACUAUACUGCCACUGUCACAAAUAAACUUUACAAAACUC
rnacentral:sRNA from 1 species